CCAGUUAAAGUUGAGUUUUGGAGGUAGCUAAGUGAAAUGGACAUAUAUUGAUUUUUAUUAGACAUUAAAUUAAAUUAAAAGACAUUUUCUUUUCAGAAGAACUACUAAGAAGAUUCUCUGGGGGUGGGUGAGCAAGACAGUAAUAGGAGGAAGAAACUUGUGGGAAAGGUGUUGGCACUUCAGCAAACUUAAUGGAUUCAAAACGUAAUAACAUUCUAAAGAUACAAAUGAAAGAGGGAAAAGCUUAAUUCACAAUUAAGUUUUGAUAUCUGUGCACAACAUGCUUGUAAGCAAGCUUAUAUGCUUGUAGUGAGUUCCUCGCAAGUUAGUGUUCCUUUAGGUUUCUUCAUGGUUGUAGUAGUUCAAAAUUCAGUGAACCUAUGGUACUGACAAAACCAAAAAUAUUAAAAUGCAUUUACUUUAACCAGCUCUAACUUGAUAGAUGGACAAAAUCCUCAAACCCCUGAUAGAAAAAAGAGUUACAACUACUAACUCGUGAUUAUAGCAAUGAUAACAGAAUAAAUCCAGAUUUUAGGAAUUUGAGUUCUAAGUUCAAGUGGUAAAAUUCGAAUAAUCAAGAAAACAGUACAUAGUUCAAUCCGGGAUAUUGAUGGUAUAUCAUCCCAACCAAAAGAAAGGUGCAAAUUAAAUGCACAAAGUGGGAG
rnacentral:misc_RNA from 1 species